GAACGCUGGCGGCGUGCCUAAUACAUGCAAGUCGAACGAACUCUGGUAUUGAUUGGUGCUUGCAUCAUGAUUUACAUUUGAGUGAGUGGCGAACUGGUGAGUAACACGUGGGAAACCUGCCCAGAAGCGGGGGAUAACACCUGGAAACAGAUGCUAAUACCGCAUAACAACUUGGACCGCAUGGUCCGAGUUUGAAAGAUGGCUUCGGCUAUCACUUUUGGAUGGUCCCGCGGCGUAUUAGCUAGAUGGUGGGGUAACGGCUCACCAUGGCAAUGAUACGUAGCCGACCUGAGAGGGUAAUCGGCCACAUUGGGACUGAGACACGGCCCAAACUCCUACGGGAGGCAGCAGUAGGGAAUCUUCCACAAUGGACGAAAGUCUGAUGGAGCAACGCCGCGUGAGUGAAGAAGGGUUUCGGCUCGUAAAACUCUGUUGUUAAAGAAGAACAUAUCUGAGAGUAACUGUUCAGGUAUUGACGGUAUUUAACCAGAAAGCCACGGCUAACUACGUGCCAGCAGCCGCGGUAAUACGUAGGUGGCAAGCGUUGUCCGGAUUUAUUGGGCGUAAAGCGAGCGCAGGCGGUUUUUUAAGUCUGAUGUGAAAGCCUUCGGCUCAACCGAAGAAGUGCAUCGGAAACUGGGAAACUUGAGUGCAGAAGAGGACAGUGGAACUCCAUGUGUAGCGGUGAAAUGCGUAGAUAUAUGGAAGAACACCAGUGGCGAAGGCGGCUGUCUGGUCUGUAACUGACGCUGAGGCUCGAAAGUAUGGGUAGCAAACAGGAUUAGAUACCCUGGUAGUCCAUACCGUAAACGAUGAAUGCUAAGUGUUGGAGGGUUUCCGCCCUUCAGUGCUGCAGCUAACGCAUUAAGCAUUCCGCCUGGGGAGUACGGCCGCAAGGCUGAAACUCAAAGGAAUUGACGGGGGCCCGCACAAGCGGUGGAGCAUGUGGUUUAAUUCGAAGCUACGCGAAGAACCUUACCAGGUCUUGACAUACUAUGCAAAUCUAAGAGAUUAGACGUUCCCUUCGGGGACAUGGAUACAGGUGGUGCAUGGUUGUCGUCAGCUCGUGUCGUGAGAUGUUGGGUUAAGUCCCGCAACGAGCGCAACCCUUAUUAUCAGUUGCCAGCAUUAAGUUGGGCACUCUGGUGAGACUGCCGGUGACAAACCGGAGGAAGGUGGGGAUGACGUCAAAUCAUCAUGCCCCUUAUGACCUGGGCUACACACGUGCUACAAUGGAUGGUACAACGAGUUGCGAACUCGCGAGAGUAAGCUAAUCUCUUAAAGCCAUUCUCAGUUCGGAUUGUAGGCUGCAACUCGCCUACAUGAAGUCGGAAUCGCUAGUAAUCGCGGAUCAGCAUGCCGCGGUGAAUACGUUCCCGGGCCUUGUACACACCGCCCGUCACACCAUGAGAGUUUGUAACACCCAAAGUCGGUGGGGUAACCUUUUAGGAACCAGCCGCCUAAGGUGGGACAGAUGAUUAGGGUGAAGUCG
rnacentral:rRNA from 2 species